CACAGAUUCUUCCUUCUUCAAGUUGUGUCAGGAACAGUUCCCUGAUCCGAUGUGUUUGCAUCAGUCAGGGCAACCCUCUUCCCUCCCUUUUUUGGGAAUUGGCUGGAGAGGCUGUCAAUCACUCUGUCAUCCCAACCACAGAAGUUCCCCAUGGGAGUUUGGUUAAGUGGAGCCAAAUCACCCUGAACUAUUUGGACAAAGACGUGUCCUCUCUAGUCUGCCUUAGUAACAACUCUGUGGGCUCCGAUCGCUUCGUAUUCAACGUGUCCUUCACCAACACUGAUCUAGACUCUUUAGGCCUCCAUCCUUUGUUUCUAUUCAUCGGCUUUUUGGUGGGAGCCAUAGGGACGAUGCUGGUUUGUGGGCUGAUGUUACUAAUCUUUGUCAGAAAAGGAAAAAUACAGCCUUCAACAAAGAAGGUAUCGCAGGACACUUCUAUCGUUGUAGUUGCUGAUGGGACCAGAUCAUCAAACGUCAACGUGAUUUAUGACAAUAAAGCCUUUCUGGAAGAGAAUGAGGAAGAAUCUCUUCAUUAUGCCAGUGUGGACUUUGCAAAGCUCAAGGAUGAUUCAAGGGGUAAGCUCGGGAAAGAGGAACCUGAGUAAUGUCUCACACUCACACCUUCAAGUUUAGCUCUCAACUUUUUGCAUCUUUAUUUCAUUAUCUUGUGUCUCUUUACUGAAAAAAGAACCAUAGAAAUGAAAAUCAUUUAGUA